rnacentral:rRNA from 1 species
AUUGAACGCUGGCGGCAUGCUUUACACAUGCAAGUCGAACGGCAGCGCGGGCUUCGGCCUGGCGGCGAGUGGCGAACGGGUGAGUAAUGCAUCGGAACGUGCCCAGUAGUGGGGGAUAGCCCGGCGAACGCCGGAUUAAUACCGCAUACGACCUGAGGGGGAAGCCGGGGGACGGAAAGCCUCGGGCCUAUUGGCGUGGCCGAUGUCGGAUUGGCUGGUGGGUGGGGUAAGGGCUUACCAAGGCGACGAUCCGUAGCUGGUCUUAGAGGACGACCAGCCACACUGGGACUGAGACACGGCCCAGCCUCCUACGGGAGGCAGCAGUGGGAAAUUUUGGACAAUGGGGGCAACCCUGAGCCAGCCAGGCCGCGGGCGGGAAGAAGGCCUUCGGGUUGUAAACCGCUUUUGUUCGGGAAGAAAUCCUCUGGGCUAAUACCCCGGGGGGAUGACGGUACCGGAAGAAUAAGCACCGGCAAACUACGG